rnacentral:rRNA from 1 species
GAUGAACGCUGGCGGCGUGCCUAACACAUGCAAGUCGAGCGAUCUUCUUCGGAAGAGAGCGGCGGACGGGUGAGUAACGCGUGGGUAACCUGCCCUGUACACACGGAUAACAUACCGAAAGGUAUGCUAAUACGAGAUAAUAUGCUUUUAUCGCAUGGUAGAAGUAUCAACGCUCCGGCGGUACAGGAUGUACCCGCGUCUGAUUAGCUAGUUCGUAAGGUAAUGGCUUACCAAGGCGACGAUGAGUAGCCGACCUGAGAGGGUGAUCGGCCACAUUGGAACUGAGACACGGUCCAAACUCCAACGGGAGGCAGCAGUGGGGAAUAUUGGACAAUGGGCGAAAGCCUGAUGCAGCAACGCCGCGUGAGCGAUGAAGGCCUUCGGGCCGUAAAGCUCUGUCCUCAAGGAAGAUAAUGACGGUACUUGAGGAGGAAGCCCCGGCUAACUACGUGCCAGCCGCCACCGUAA